AAAUUUUGUGAUGUCUUCAAAAUGAUAUUUGAAAGAAAGACAUGCAAUUAGAAACGUUCCCAAACCAAAAGUUUUAGUUAAGAUACGAAAUUUCAUACCAAUUGCAAAACUGCCAGUUUCUCUCGCAUUUACGUAAAAGUUCUACCGAAAGCCAGGGGCAGGGAAAAAAACGCGAGACGACUAGGCUACAAAAUUAUUUCUCUAUUCUGUGAUUAUUUCACAUGUGGCCAUGUUUUUAAGAUGAAAACAUACUCAGUUGCACUCACGAGGCCCUGUUAGGGUUUUAGGAUUACGGAUUAUUUGGCAUUUUUGGGCAGGAUUACGGAUUAUUGCUAGUUAAAAAAAAAGAUUAUGGAUUAUUUUGAUAGGAUUUUAGGAUUAAG